rnacentral:misc_RNA from 1 species
AACGCACCUUGCGCUCUCUGGUAUUCCGGAGAGCAUGCCUGUUUGAGUGUCAUGAACUCUUCAACCCACCGGUUUCUUGUGAACUGCUGUGGUGUUUGGAUUUUGAAUGUUGCUAUGUACUUAGCUCGUUCGUAAUGCAUUAGCAUCUCAAUUUCGUAAUCGGAUUGACUCAGCGUAAUAGACUAUUCGCUGAGGACACUCUCAGAGUGGCCGAGACAUGAAGAGUUAGAAGCUUCCAGCCCAUCUAGUCAUUUUUAAGAUUAGACCUCAGAUCAGGCAGGAUUACCCGCUGAACUUAA